UUUUUUUUUUUUUUUAACAUUUUAACAUAGGACACCUUAUUUGGUAGCAGCUUCACAAGUCUUGCAUCCAUUGAACUUGUGAGUUUUUGACAGUUUCUGCUUGAAUUUGUUUGCAAGAUGUCAGAAUAGCUGCUGUUUGGAUGUAAACUGUCUCCCACCUUCAUAGAUCUUUUGCUUGAGGAUGCUCCAAAGGUUCUCAAUAGGAUUGAGGUCAGGGGAGGAUGGAGG